AUUGAACGCUAGCGGGAUGCUUUACACAUGCAAGUAGAACGAGUGGCGGACGGGUGAGUAAUAUAUCGGAACGUGCCCAGUAGCGGGGGAUAACUACUCGAAAGCGUGGCUAAUACCGCAUACUAUUGCAGGGGACGUUAUAGGAUUAGCUAGUUGGUGGGGUAAAGGCUCACCAAGGCAACGAUCCGUAGCUGGUUUGAGAGUACGACCAGCCACACCGGGACGGAGCCACGGCCCAGACGCCUACGGUAGGCAGCAGUGGGGAAUUUUGGACAAUGGGGGAAUCCCUGAUCCAGCCAUCCCGCUUGUAUGAUAAGGCCUUCGGGUUGUAAAGUUCUUUUGGCAGAGAAGCGGUAUCUGCAGAAUAAGCACCGGCUAACUACGUGCCAGCAGCCGCGGUAAUAC
rnacentral:rRNA from 1 species